rnacentral:rRNA from 1 species
GGCAAAAGCUCAAAUUUGAAAUCUAGCACCUUCGGUGUUCGAGUUGUAAUUUGAAGAUGGUAACCUUGGGUUUGGCUCUUGUCUAUGUUCCUUGGAACAGGACGUCAUAGAGGGUGAGAAUCCCGUCUGAUGAGAUGCCCAUUCCUAUGUAAGGUGCUAUCGAAGAGUCGAGUUGUUUGGGAAUGCAGCUCUAAGUGGGUGGUAAAUUCCAUCUAAAGCUAAAUAUUGGCGAGAGACCGAUAGCGAACAAGUACAGUGAUGGAAAGAUGAAAAGAACUUUGAAAAGAGAGUGAAAAAGUACGUGAAAUUGUUGAAAGGGAAGGGCAUUAGAUCAGACUUGGUGUUUUACGAUUAUCUUCUCUUCUUGAGUUGUGCACUCGUAUUUCACUGGGCCAGCAUCGAUUCGGAUGGCAAGAUAAUGGCAGUUGAAUGUGGCUUCACUUCGGUGGAGUGUUAUAGCUUCUGCUGAUAUUGCCUGUCUGGAUCGAGGGCUGCGUCUUUUGACUAGGAUGCUGGCGUAAUGAUCUAAUGCCGCCCGUC